rnacentral:lncRNA from 1 species
CCCUUUAAGCCAUGAGUCGACUCAUGGGGUCGACUCAAAAAUAAAAACAUGAUUUUCUUACAAAAUACACUUCCAAAAAUAUUGAAAUUUUCUCCAAUGGAUUGUACGUCUUCAGUUCUUGCUCUUGAAGCUUUUGAAUCAGGUCUUGACAAAAUUAUGAUUUUACCCCUGAAAUGCAAUAAAUCUUUUUUCAAGUCAGAAUCAUGAGUAACCUCCUCAAAUGCUUUGUAAUCAUCAAAAUCAAUUCAAGGAGCAACAGUAAUAUUUUUAUUUUUUUUUAUAAUUAGA